rnacentral:rRNA from 1 species
AGCGAACGCUGGCGGCAGGCCUAACACAUGCAAGUCGAACGAAGUCUUCGGACUUAGUGGCGGACGGGUGAGUAACACGUGGGAACGUGCCUUUAGGUUCGGAAUAACUCAGGGAAACUUGUGCUAAUACCGAAUGUGCCCUUCGGGGGAAAGAUUUAUCGCCUUUAGAGCGGCCCGCGUCUGAUUAGCUAGUUGGUGAAGUAAAGGCUCACCACGGCGACGAUCAGUAACUGGUCUGAGAGGAUGAUCAGCCACAUUGGGACUGAGACACGGCCCAAACUCCUACGGGAGGCAGCAGUGGGGAAUCUUGCGCAAUGGGCGAAAGCCUGACGCAGCCAUGCCGCGUGAAUGAUGAAGGUCUUAGGAUUGUAAAAUUCUUUCACCGGGGACGAUAAUGACGGUACCCGGAGAAGAAGCCCCGGCUAACUUCGUGCCAGCCGCCGCUGUAAUAC